CGGGUGAGUAAUACAUCGGAACGUGUCUUCUAGUGGGGGAUAACUGCCCGAAAGGGCAGCUAAUACCGCAUGAGACCUGAGGGUGAAAGCGGGGGAUCGCAAGACCUCGCGCUGGAAGAGCGGCCGAUGUCCGAUUAGCCAGUUGGUGAGGUAAAGGCUCACCAAGGCGACGAUCGGUAGCUGGUCUGAGAGGACGACCAGCCACACUGGGACUGAGACACGGCCCAG
rnacentral:rRNA from 1 species